GAACCUUAAUGGUUACAUAAUGUGCCCCCCCGGAGUGUAAUGGGGUACAUCAGGAGGCUCUGCUGCUGAGCUGCCAGGCAUGUGCCUUGGAUUCGUGGAUUUAAAAUCAAUUCAAGUUGUAGGGCAGUCACUUUGUGGAGGUUCUGUCUUCCUUUGUGAUGUCACUUGUAAUUCGACGGGAUGAUCUUGCUGACCGGCAACAAGGGAGAUCUGUGGAAUGUGUGACGUGGUGCUGCUGGGCUCUUCUGGGUGAGGAGGUUGGCCUGACUUGGGAUAGGAAAAAGGAAUCAGCAAAGAUGAAGGAUGUGAACAUCACUAAUCAGGCGAUGCAUUUCCCAGGCAGGCCUGCAGGUGACAGACCACGAUUCCUCGAUGUCUUCCAGAAACAGAGCGCGUGCAAGUGGGGGAAGGAGAGACAGCCAGAAAGGAGACAGACUCUGAAGCAGGCCCGGAGCAGUCAGCCCAACGCCGGAUGCAGGCCCGAACCCACGAAAUGUGUGAGAUCAUGACCUGAGCCGAAGUCGGAAGGUCAACCAACUGAGUCACCCCACGUGCCCCACUCAAGAUAUUUUUGAGAACUCCCUAACUUCAACUGAUGCUGUCAUGUACAGAAUUCUAAGACUAUAUUUCUCACGUUUCUUUGCUACUACUACGUAUGGUUACAGGAUUCAGUUCUGGCCCAUAACAUCACUUCCAGCGCACCUACCAAAAAUGAGAAGUGGGCGGACAGUGUUAAAUGCAUUCAGAAAAGAAAAUCAGAAGAUGUGAAGCUAUUCUGAAAACCAGAAAAGCACUAUACAAGGUGGCCAUCAACAAGAAGUAAAUAAUAUAAAAAGAAAGGAGAAUCACAGGUGGGUAACAGGAAAGGCAAUCUUAAAAUGGCUGCCUGUCUUAAACAAUCCCCCGCUAAAAGCUUCUCUGAGAGGUUAGUCCCAGGUCACAACCAAGGAAGGUAGACCCCUUAUAAUUUGUCCAUACAUCUCUUCCACACCUGUCCUACAGCUCUGUCUGAAAAGAGCAAGGCCUCUUCAUAGCAAUGGACUCCAAGGAAACCUUAAAAUACAGGUAAGAGCUCAUUCCUUCAGCUUAGGAACCUUGAUCUGAAAAAUCUAAGCCAGGAAUAAUGUAAGUGAGAUGCCUUCCCUAACAUCACUAAAAACACCCAAGGCUCAGCACAAGGAAAUCACACUGACAGGGACAGUAAUCGGGAGACAAUAACCUGGUCUUUGAUGAGUUCCAAUGCAGAGUCCUCAAGAUCCAACUCGUAGCACAACCUCAUGAAAAGUGGUCCAAAUUUAUACUCUCCCAAAGUGACAUUUCUGUUCUCUGUAUGGUACCUGGUAAUGAAAAUGAUUCAGUGAGUCAAAUAGUGAGAUGCAGGGAAAAGGACAGACCGACUGUGGCAUGUACUCUGCUAGAUGCUGGGGACACAAUAAAGAACGAGGUACUCUCACAGUCCGGAGGGAGAAAAGUGCAGAAACGAGGACAAUGAGAGGAAUUCUGGAGUGAAGUAUGCCAGACAUUUAAAUAGAAAGGAUUUGCGAGAGGCCCACAUGACUACAUGAAAUCAAAGAAUGGAAAAACGUACAUUGUAAUUAUCUUCUCAAUAUAUCAACAAACUGCUAGGAUGAGUGCUAGCAAAGGUCAGGGAACAACAGGGCUCUUGCACAGCAAACUCGAGAGAAUGGCACUGUGUCUUUGUAUGGACCCCAUCUAGAGAGGAACGAAUCAAAGGAGUGAAGUGAUGCUCUGUCCUCCUCCAAUAUGACUUCUCCAUAGAGGAUGACAGACAACCUACAGAUGUACUUUACAAUUUAGACCCAUCGCUGUUUUCCUCUGCUCAGGAAAAGGCAUAUGUGAUCUACCAUCACCUAGCUAAACAAAUUAAAUGCUGUUUUGAAGUUUAGUUUUAGCAAAACACUAAUUUCAGACAGUGACAUCUUAUACGUGCCUUGAGGUUUCUACAAGCAGUCAGUCCACCAGUUAGGAUGCAGAACUAAAAAUUGCUAGCAUAAAUUUACUUUCAAUAACCAACUCUUUCUGUUUUAGACACCAAGAAGACAAUCUGGUGACAAAAUAAGUAUCGCAAGAUUACUUGUAAACCAGAUUUUACUAAGACUCAUUAUGUGAAUAAAUCACACAUACCACGGGGAAUAGCUCUGACUUUAAAACCAGAACGCUUUUUAGCCUUCUGCCGAAAUCACGGAGGACAGUCACAGUAACAUCAUGGAUAGUGUAUCCCAAACAUACAUAAUGCCAAAUAGAAUGAUGAUACGUACUUUCAAAGAUAUACUUCGUAGUCAAAUUAUAGAAAUUAUAAAAUAUAUUCAGUGCUUCAUUACAAGUUAUGAAUUAAAUUAUAUCAGUUGUACACCUUAAAUAUACAUGAGUUUUAGUUGUCAAUCAUACCUCAGUAAUACUGGGGGGGAAAGAAUUAGGUUAUUUAAAGGCAAUAUAGUACCUAAGUGACUAAGUACCUAAGUGACUAAGGUACUAUAGUACCUAGUGACUAAGGAUUUUUAGAUUCUGAUUCCAAGCUGACAGUUCAAAUCCCAGUUCUUUUACUUACUAACUGUAUAACCAGGAGCAAAUAAGUUAACCACUCCAUGCCUCAGUUUCUUCAUCUGUAAAUGGAGAUAAAAGUUCAACUCAAAGUUUUUGUAACGAUUAAUUAAGAUGACAUGCCUACUAGCACACGGAAAAUCUGCCAUUUGUGUCAGCUCUUAUAAAAUAUAAGGCAUGCUGUGGAAAAGAUCUUUAAAAAUCAAUACAUUCCAAAAAUAGUGUCAUGAAAAAUUUAUGCCAGAUUAAAAAUAAAAUAAUGCAAAACAAAAGUUUUCCCAAUUUAGAGAACAUUUACACUAAUAAAAGUGCUAGAAAUUCACAAAGUAUUACCUCUUCUUGACAAGAAAUGUUCAAAUCAGAGAAUCUAAAAUACCCCUAAUAAACCACACACCAGCAUGUGGUCAAGACUAUGGGGGGUAUUAAGUUGCUCCUCACUUUUGACUCCAUAAAGAGCUUAUGUUCUAGCUCAUUACUCUUCCUCCCCAGUAGUGGGGUACCUGUGUCAGCAAGACAGAGAACAGGUUGGUUAGGCCAUGGACCUGCCCAUUUUCCCACUUUUCCAGCUGUCCAGCAGUAGAGGGGAGAGACAGCAACUGGGCAGAGUUAUUAGCAAUGAUUUAGAUUUGGGUAGUAAAAACUGACAAUAAAACAAGCCAGAGGGUCUAAUAUCAUUCAUCUUUGUGAAACUGAGAUAGUAUUAGGAUUCCUAAUACCGUGCAAAUGUAAAUUAGCAUAACCCUUUUGGAAAAUAAUCUGGCAUUUGUAUUAAUUUUAAAAUGUUCAUAUUCUCUGAUCAUCUCCAAAACAGAAAGAGUAUGUUUUAUGCAUACAGUUGCUCAUCACGGCAUUAUUCAUACUGAUGAAAAUAUCAAAAAUCAGACAUUCAACAAGAGGGGUACCUGACAUACAAUGGAAUAUUAUAAAGUCAUUAAAAUAUAACUCCUAAGGUAUAUUAACAAAAAAAUUAUGCUGUAAUACUAAGUAGAAAACACUAUCAUUAUAUAUACAGUAAUUAUUAGGAAAGUAUAAAUAAACCCUAUCAAAACCAUACAAUCUUUGCACGUAAAAAAUUAGUGAGAAAUUGGGGAUGUCUGGUGGCUCAGUCAGCUAAAUAUCCAGCCUCGACUCAGGUCAUGAUCUUGUGGUUUGUGGAUUCGAGCUCUGCAUCAGGCUCUGUGCUGACAGCUCAGAGCUUGGAGCCUACUUCAGAUUCUGUCUCUCUUUCUCUCUGCCCCUCCCCGACUUAUGCUCUGCCUGCCUCCCCGCUCAAAAAUAAACAGUGACAAAAUGUAUCAAAUAUCAACAGUGGUUGAUCCAUCCGGAGGUGGAACUGUUGCUCCUCCCUGCUGAGUGUGGGAGUGCCAGGUAACUUGCCUUGACCAAGACAAUGCGACAGAAGUGAAGCUGUGCCAGUUCCAGGCAGCUUUACAAGGCCUGCAGCUUCCACUUGUGCAGGGUGCUAGUGCAGCCCAGGCUAGACUCAUGAACGACGAGACACUCCAAGGAGAGAGGGGUCACGCGGACGCAGGCAUCAGAAAUGCAAGUAAAGCCUCUUGGACCUUCCAGCUCAGACCAGCCAGCAGCUGACCAUAGAGGAGCAAGUGACUUUAGCAGACACUAAUACAGAACUAGCAGGCCUCAAUUCCUGACCCACAGAAAUAAUAGAUAAUAGAUAAUAAUAGAUAACAGAAAAAAAACAGUUAUCAUGUUCUGGUGUGCAACAAGAGACAACAGAAAUAGCAGAAUCUGUGAUGUAUUUCUUCUACUUUUUUGGUGUUUUUCAAACUUUCAAUGGAUUGUGUGUAAUUUUAUGUUUUUUCCUUUUAAAGAUAACAUUAAUUUUUCAUAUUAUAAAAUUGAUAAUGCCCACUGUAGACAAGUUUGAGAGACUAAAAAAAACACAUAUUUAAACCAAAAAAUAUGUAUAAUUCCCAGAGAACCACAAUUAACUUUUGGUACAUACUCUUCCAGUAUUCUACAUAUGAACACACUUAUACUACUCUCUCUACAUUAUAAAUGCAGGUCCAUCUGUAGAAACCUAUCCUUCAAGAAUGGUAAAAAAAAAAAAAAAAAAAAGCCAUGAAUUUAAUUUUAGAAACAAAGCCUGUUGAUUUCGGUUCAUACACUUCCCGAGUAAGUGAAACCUUUGCUAGGUUUCCUAACAGCAGACUAUGAUUACACGGGAAUUCCCCUGACGUGGGAAAAUGACAAUGGAUCAGAGAAAGAGACAUUUGCCUGGAGGAGACAGAUGAGCGAGGAGUCCAUGAAGUGGUCCAAGUGAGAGAUGACGAGGCCUGAACUAAGACACUGGUAACGAGGACAGAGAGGAAGGCCAGAGAUGAGAGAUACCAGGAAAGUGGAAGCAGUAGGAUUUCUCAUCCUGGAAUCAGGGAGGAGAGCAAGUAAGGUUAGAGGAAAGAGGCUCCCAGUUAUCCAUCCUGAGGGGUCAGUACGACAGAAAAUAGUAAAAGGAAGCAAUUUGUGUGAGUUGAAUGUGAAGACCUAGGGGAUAUGUAAGUGGACUUCAUCAGGCUGGUGAUUUCUUAGGACAUGAAUUCUGGUUUUCUAUCCUUAGUACCUGGCAUAUAAAAGGAAUCCAGGAAGCAAUUGCUAAGGGAACAUAAAUGUCUGGAGCUGGGGGUAGGCAUGUGGACACGAGAUUUGAAAGUCAUCAAUGUAUAGUUGCCAGCUGAAUCCCUGUUAAAUGGAUGAGAUUCUUCAGGAAAAAGAAAGAAGAAACCAAACCUGGCAGAAUUGUACAGAAAUGCCUCACCUGUAAAUGACAUUUUUAGCCAGUUCCACAUCAUCCCGGGUAUCACACAAAUGAAGGAAGGUUUUCAACUCGUCCUUCAAGAUGAGCUUAUUCUGGGCCAAUUUCUCUUUCAUGUUUCUCAGGUAGGUUGCUGGAAGAAAGCAGAGUGUGGUGGCCGUCACUCAGGCUGACUGGGACUGUCAGGAGUCUGACCUCAGGGAGAAGGGGAAGCUGGAUUCUGGCACACUGCAAAGAGGCACUGAGAGAGGCUCCCAUCACUGACUAGUGUCCUUAAGAGCAGUAUCACAGAAGGUCUAUGAAGCAAACCAUGUAUCUGUGCUACAGGAGCACAGGAUGGGGGCCCACUCAAAACUUUCUAACAUACAAUCUUUGAGGGUAAGAACACAGGAAUAUGCAAUUUUGACUACCUGGGUGACCCUUCUGCACACUAAAGUUUUAAGAACUAUGUCCCAGAGGCUUAGUCCAAAAAACUAUCGACAGGUGACCCAUUAGG